UACGUAGGGUGCGAGCGUUAAUCGGAAUUACUGGGCGUAAAGCGUGCGCAGGCGGUUUUGUAAGCCAGAUGUGAAAGCCCCGGGCUUAACCUGGGAAUGGCAUUUGGGACUGCAAGGCUUGAGUGCGGCAGAGGAGACUGGAAUUCCUGGUGUAGCAGUGAAAUGCGUAGAUAUCAGGAGGAAUACCGAUGGCGAAGGCAGGUCUCUGGGCUGACACUGACGCUGAGACGCGAAAGCGUGGGGAGCGAACAGG
rnacentral:rRNA from 1 species